GCAGAAUUCAGUGAAUCAUCGAAUCUUUGAACGCAAAUGGCGCUCUUGGGUUCUCCCAGGAGCAUGUCUGUCUGAGUGUCUUUUUCGUUGAAUGACAUUCGCACGAUGUGGCCGUGUCAUGCACUGGCGUUUCGUGCGGCGUUGAGGUUCGCGGCCUUGCUAUUCUUAGGCCGCGUGCCUUUAAAUGGAGGAGGAAGAUGGGCUCAAGGUCCGGUGCAGUCGCAUGCGGAUUCAGUUCAUGUGCCGCAUGUGACUGCUGCACCGGGGAAUAUUGUCCUCGGCCCUCUACCUCGUGACCUUUAGCACGACGCUCGUUCGUUCGUUGCUUGCCGCCAGACCUCAGAUCAGGCAAGGCUACCCGCUGAAUUUAAGCAUAUUAAUAAGCGGAGGAAAAGAAACUAACAAGGAUUCCCCCAGUAACGGCGAGUGAAGCGGGAAGAGCUCAAAUUUGAAAUCUCCGAUGCCUGCAUCGGCGAGUUGUAGUUGCGAGAAGCACUUUCUAGGCGGAAGGGCCCUGCCUAAGUUGCUUGGAACAGCACGUCGCAGAGGGUGACAACCCCGUCU
rnacentral:sRNA from 1 species